UUAACUACAGUGGAAGACGCGCCUUCACUGUUUUCUCUCGGAAAAAUGAUUGCGUACACCAGAACCUGAACGAAUUCUUUCCUUUUUUUUCGCGGGAUUCCCGAAUUCCUCGACGUUUAUCGUGGUGGCUGUUUGGCAUCGACGGUACCGAAUUUUCUCUCGGAUCAGUCAUCUUUUAGGAGAAGAAUUGUGCAAAAUGUUUGAAUUGCCGGAAUCGGGCGAACGGAUGUUCUCCAGCGGAAGGCCUGGAUUCAGGUUAGUUUUCGAUUUCGCUAAAUUAACAUUUCCGGAACGAACUGCUUUCGCAUGUUGGGGGCUCAGCCGUUACCUCAACCUCGAACAACUGUGAUGGUUGGAGAAGGUUGGUGCUAAUCUCAUAUGUAGCAUAAUUGACAUCCCAUGCACCAAUAAAACGACGAAAGCAGGAGCGCUUCUGACAGAUCGUCAAAGUUCAACAAAAACCCAUCCAGCAUUAUCAUACCGGAUGAGCACCACAGCAGCAGAAGCGAUAGCGAGUUCGAGCGAAAGAGCAGCAUCAGUAACAUAGUCAUCGAUAAGGACGGAAGCUAGUGAAAAAGUAUAGUUCGAUUAUUGCCGGAAGUGUGGGCAACAUUUUUAUCGCCAAGGUAUGGACGACGUUGCUGGCGUAGGUCAUUAUUGACAUCUAAGGAACCGUGCGCCGAAAAUUGUAGUGAAUUUGAAGGCUGAAAACGUGGUAAUCAAC